CUGCGAAAGUAAAGACUACUAAUGAUUGAUGUGUCUAAUACUAAAUUCUCCAUCUUCACUCUAAGUUUUUAUCCAAACUGAAAUCGUGCUCGUUGGCCGGUGAACAUCUUUCUGGCCAUCGGUCACCACCCCUCUUUUUGUUUUUUGCUCCAAUCCGAUUUAGGUUGGAUUUCUCUUCGGCUUGUCCGAUUGUAGAUUCCGGUAGCGAAAAUUUCUUCCAGUUGUGGAUAAUAACUUCCGCUUUACGCAGAUCCUUUUGGUUUUAAUCAUUCUUUCCUCUCACAGGGAUUUAAAUCCCGUUCAAUAUCGAGAGUUCGUUUGUCUUUCUCUAGUUAUUAUUGAGAUCUAAUCUUGACAAGAGUCAAUCUUUGCCUUCUUUAAUAAAUAUGGGCAAAGUAUCUGAAAUCACAUUAGAUUUUCGAGUUGACUGAUUAAGCCUUGAGAAUUUUGGCAGACUCAGUAGAGUUGAAGCUCCUCGCUUAGAGUAGCGUUUCAGCAAAUUCUUUGUCCGGAAUUUCCUGAAGCUUCAUUGCUUCUCUUCACAUCUGGAGAACGACACAACAUCUCAACGGUGUUAACGGCAGAAUGGAGGAAAGGGCAUGCAAGGGAAUUAAUCUAGAUAAUCCUUGCCAUCGUUAAUGUUUUUUCUUCCUGCUUGUUCGGCGGAGAAGAUGGUCGGCGAGAUCUCCAGCAAACUAAGCGGUGGCUUUCUCCUCAACAAAGUUAAGGGACGACACGUAGUAGACACGCUGAAGGCUAGGUUUUUUGACACGUGUUUCGUAUUACUGUUGGGUUUUGGUUGGGCUUACUGUAUUGGUUGUUUAUCAAAUUCUAUUAGUUUAUAUAUUUUGAUUGAUUUAGAGAUAUAUGUAGUAUUUAUAAAUCCAACUAAAAUACGCAGAUUUUUAAAAAAUUGGAUUAGUAUUUACAAAUACGGAGAUUUUCUUUCGGAU
rnacentral:lncRNA from 1 species